rnacentral:lncRNA from 1 species
AUGGAAAGAGGCCCUGAUCAACAGCAACGUGGACAGGAGAAGACUAUCAACCGCAAUGUUGAGCGGGGCAGUUCUGCCCUUGAUUCCCCCAAGAUGUCUCAGUCUGGUCCAAAAGUGGAAAAAUCCUCUAGCCAACAGCAGGAGGAAGAUAAGCUGGACAAAAGCCCUUUGGCUCCUGCAUCAUCCACCACCACCACCACCACCACCGCUGGAAGAACUACCACCAAAAGAUUUCCCCUAAAGCAGAAAAUACGCGCAGUCAACAUAAAGGCCCUGCAGCUGCCAAAUAUUAACAACCCGUCUCAAGGCAUAAAAGACCUGGAAAUCCGACUGCUGCAAGUCGAGUGCGAGGAGCUCAAAACCCGGCUGGGCUGCCUAAGGGAAGGGCUAGUGGGUCAAAAACCAAGCGAUAUGGAGGAUUUAUUGAAACAGUCUCAGAAGGAGCUGUUGUGGCUUCAGAGGCAGCUGUCCUUCAUCUCAACAGGCGGCCCUGCGUGUGUAUUGUCAACUAGCAAGCUUGGAAAUGAUUUACCAUGUUUGCAGCCUUCAGUGCCACAGAAAACAUUUGAUGAGAUUCGAUUUUUAGAGGAGAAAACCCAGUUUUUUCAAUCUAAUGUCACCACACUAAGUCAAGAAAACCAUCUGUGGAGAUUUUUGAACGAGACAGCUGUGAUGCGAACUGAAUAUAAAGAUUUGAAGGAG